UUGUCUUGAUAGUAAUGUCAAACAUAUGCCACAGCAUUUUGGCCAUUGAUAUUCUUUGAACCUAUGAGUGCAAAGUGGCAUACUGAUUUUAAAAAGGCCAUGGCUAACUGCUUACUAGCCUUUAACAUGAGUAGUUUCACUAGGGUCCACUUGUGUAUAGAUAGAUUUGCUCAGCAAACCAUGCCUAAAGCUGGAUGAGGGAAUACCCAUUUGGGAUAAGAAAAAAGUAACUUAUAGGCCCAGGAUUUGUGAGCAUUAUAGAAAGUAUAACCUAAAUUUUUCUAUGGAUUCUUUUUCUUUAAGUUUCGAUUGCCCCAUUAUGGACAUCUUGGAUUGAUUUACAGAUGUGCUACCCAUCACUGGAUUUGGGACCACUCCUGACAGAUUUUCAAAUCGUGGACUCUCUUCUCAAAAGGUGAAUUUCUGUCACUGAGAACAAAGUAAUCUACUCAUUUGAUAGACUGACCGUAAAAGGUAUGUCUUUCUCAGAGUCCUUACUAAAUGCAGAAAUCAAAAGGUUGUCAUAGAAGCAGUAGAAUUUCUUUUAAUCAAGUCAGCACUGCUAUAUGAUGGCACAUACAAUAAACUCACAGUGGGCUGUGUGUGGUUGGGAGCAUGGCUGAGACAAGAGAAAUGCCUAAUGUGGUGUGGGGAUGGCAGAAACUUCAAUGGAGAAACAAAUUGGCCAGUGUGUCCCUAUUAUAUGCAGGAAGGUUGUCUUGAUGCCAAAAGAAUGUGCAAAAUCUCAAGCUUCCCAGUUGAAUUUGCUUUCUUGUAUGGAAUUAAUUCACCAUGACUUUGGCAGGUGUAUGUACAGAUGGUGAUGUUUUUUAAGAUAUCCUGACCCAGGAGCUUUAGAGGGUCCUCCUAGAUUUUUUGCUGGGUGGCUGAAAAGUCCCUUUCUCUUCCACUUGCUCACAUUUCAGAGGUUACGCCCAUCUUCAGGAUUUUACUGGUAGUAAUAAGAGAUCAUAAACACAAUAAAGAAACUCUACUAAAAUAGUGGAGAUAUGGCUAAUCUGAAAUAUGUAAUCAAAAAGUCAGGUAGAUGUAUGUGACUAUAUUGUUUGUACUUCAGUCCAUAUGUCUUACUUGAGAGCUGUAUGUUCAGUUAAAUUUUGAAAUAAAGCUCUAUGAUAAAUACUAGAGAGACCAGAAGAGUUCAUCUAAUUUCCCCAUCCUCCCCCCUGCACAAUUCAUCCAUGCUGGAAAUGGCCCCUUCUUAUCCUCCUGCCAGACACUGAAGUGGUUCAGACCCAAAAGGCUCCCCUUGGAGCACACAGAUAGUUUGAGAUAGAAACAGAGAUCUCUCAAGAUAGAAUUUACUUCUCCAGUCUGACUCUGGAAUCCAAGAGAAAGGCAGAAUUCUUUAUAGUUUCUCUUACUCUUAAAAAAAGUCAGAUGCCAAAAUUUUCCCACCAAAUGUCCAAAUCAAGAGAAGAGGAUGGAGUAAAUAUGGGUUUCAGUAAUCAAUUUUAUUCAUGUAGAGGGAUGUUGCUUACAGCUUUAAAUAGUGCCUGGAAAACUUCCACAAAGUAAUGAGCAUCUUACAAAUGUUUGUAAGUAUGUAGUUAUGUAGCUCACCUUUUGAAUUUAUAAAAAUCAGAAACGUCCGCCAGAAAGUUUUGCAAUGUGACAGUGGAACUAAAAAUAUAUAACAGCUACAGCUAACAUUUACUGAAUGUUCACUGUCAUUUGACAAAAAAAUUAAGUAUUUUAAAAUAGAAGGGCUUAUGGUGUGGUAACCUCUGUAUGUCUUCACAGACAUCCCUCCUUGCCUCUUUUCAGCACGAGCCAGCCUUGGCCGUAUGACUACCGUCCCAGUCCAAUCAGUUGCAAAAUAAAAAGGAAAAGGCUGAUUAUGUCCAUGUAGAUGUUCAGGGCAGCAAAAACAUACUCUUCAGGGUCCAGGUCAGAAUGAUGAUGGCGCCCUCCCACCAUCAGCUGUACAUCCAUCACCAAGUACUUAAAGAAAAGAAAGAAGAAUUAGCUACUUAAAUUGUACAUUUCUAUCAAUGCUUGGAUGAGAAUAAAAUACUUCAAACCUCAGACGUGGAAUGAGGAUUGAGACCUCAGUACCAGGGGAUGAGCUGGAGGACACACCUACAAAGCAUGGAGCUGCACUGUGCUAGGACUGCCUGGGAGGCUUUGAACUUCGUCAGCUGGCUAAUGACGUCCAGGAUUGGAGACUGGAAAAGAACCGGAGUCCCGGGAGUCCCGGAUUGCCUCUCUGGAUCUCCCAAACCCAGUGGUGCAGGAACUGGGAGACUACUCGCUCACCUGGACAAUGAGCAGUGUAUCCACACCAACUAAGAAAGGCCCCUCAAUGCUCCGUCAGCUGAAGAAAUGCCCAAAUGUGCGUAUCAAAGAGACAGUCUUCUCCAGCGUCAUGAGGAAACUGUUCUUCCCCGACGCAUGAUUCACACUGGACGCUGUGUGGUACCCACAGAGAACCUCAUCCUUGGCCGUGUGUCCUUGCUCACGUUGACCACCAGGAGGCGCAGAUCCAAAUCUAGGCUCAUCACACUCAAAUGCGUGGAACUAUGCAUUUUGCGCACGAAUCUCACCUCUGGCUUUAUUUUCCUUCCAUCAGAUUUCC